AGGCAGAGUCGACACUUAAAUGACAAAGCAAGAUUCAACAUAAUCUGAAGACUGGAGCCAUGAGCUGAUACCAACAAGAGAUGUGGUGUGAGAACCUUAUUCAUGCAAGAAGGCAGCGUGGAAAAGAAGGAAACAUGAGCUGUGGGGAGUCCAAGCCCAGCCCAUAUCCAGGAGGAGAAGAGAAAGCAGACUUUCCUCUCCAGCUCACUCUGCUCCCCCACUUCCUGCCGACCCCAAAGCCCCGGCGGGACCCCCUACGCACCGGAGGGGAGAAAUCUGGGGGCUGUACCCAAGGCCGGGGUGGAGGAGAGCCCUUCACUGUGUUCACGACCUGACCCCCUGCAAUCUGCUCUCUGGUCUCGCUCUCCGUCUGCCUCCUCUAGCAUCUCGUCAUCAGAACCUUCACAAUUGUCAUGCCAACGCAUUUCCUCUAAGAGCGUUUUCUUGAACAUGUGUCACUUUUUGAAAAUGUGCUCAGGAGAGCAACUUCUUCCUGUCUGACCAAGAUUCAGUCCCUUCCACUGCAGCCAGUCGCAGGCCCGUCCGCCGAGGCGACUGGGGAUGGGGAACCAUGGGCCCGGGGACAGCAGGACAUUUGUCUGCACUGGCCUUGUCAGGGCUCCGGGUCAGCCAGACGGUGGUCCACUUGUGUUUGGAAAUUCAACGUGACGCGUGCAUCCCCCGCACACGUGGUCAGCUUCUGUAUGAAAGAUGGUAUUUCCCCUGGGGCCACACUGGCACCUGGGGCCUGCAGAACACACUUUGUUGGUGCUCUAGACUUGCAGAUCCUCACAUAUCUCGCCCUGGCCCCACCUCCCGUGAACUCCUGAGGUCAGGACCCUGGUCUCCUCCAAAUUUGUGUCCUCCUUAAUGUUGUGCAUGCUGCAUAGUGCAAGAGCAAUACUGCUGAAUGGAUGAGUAAGUCACUACACAGAAGGAAGCAAACUGGAAAACUACAGAAGUCAUGUGUUAUGUUGUUUUUUUCUGUCCCAGCUUUUUGAGUUAAGCAGGAGAGUGAGGAGGUGGGAAAGAGGCCGCAUAAGAAGCAAUAAAUAGAAAUACAAUAUUCUGGCAAAAGCUACGUCUCUGACAACAGCAAGAAAGGCAAAAUACAUAUGAAAAUGACAAAUGAGUCUUAUUUGGAGGCAGUCACUGUCCCCAAAAGGCUGUGUCAUAUGUAGUUCAUCUAGACGGAGGUGAUACAACUGGCUUGGCCUAAGCAUUCAGCGAAAGGCAAUGUCAUAUAGUGCUACUUAACGCCUCGGUGCAGGGAAUGAGGGCAGAAGUGUGCUGGUCUUUGACAUAAUCUGCUGAGGGCAAAAUAACAACUUCACCCUCAAUGGCGAGAUACACAGUUGUUUUCAAAAUAAACAAGCAACCGCCCUCAUAGCAGAAGCUGGUUAAGUCUCUGGUCUGCUAACACGA